GAUCCUGGCUCAGAUUGAACGCUGGCGGAAUGCUUUACACAUGCAAGUCGAGCGGCAGCGCGGUCUUCGGACUGGCGGCGAGCGGCGAACGGGUGAGUAAUACAUCGGAACAUGCCCAGUCGUGGGGGAUAACACUUCGAAAGAAGUGCUAAUACCGCAUACGUCCUGAGGGAGAAAGCGGGGGAUCGCAAGACCUCGCGCGAUUGGAGUGGCCGAUGUCAGAUUAGCUAGUUGGUGGGGUAAAGGCCUACCAAGGCAACGAUCUGUAGCUGGUCUGAGAGGAUGAUCAGCCACACUGGGACUGAGACACGGCCCAGACUCCUACGGGAGGCAGCAGUGGGGAAUUUUGGACAAUGGGGGCAACCCUGAUCCAGCCAUUCCGCGUGAGUGAAGAAGGCCUUCGGGUUGUAAAGCGCUUUCGGCAGGAACGAAACGGUGAGCUCUAACAGAGCUCGCUAAUGACGUAC
rnacentral:rRNA from 1 species